rnacentral:rRNA from 1 species
GACGAACGCUGGCGGCGUGCUUAACACAUGCAAGUCGAACGGAGAGGCCCUGCUUUUGUGGGGUGCUCGAGUGGCGAACGGGUGAGUAACACGUGAGUAACCUGCCCUUGACUUUGGGAUAACUUCAGGAAACUGGGGCUAAUACCGGAUAGGAGCUCCUGCUGCAUGGUGGGGGUUGGAAAGUUUCGGCGGUUGGGGAUGGACUCGCGGCUUAUCAGCUUGUUGGUGGGGUAGUGGCUUACCAAGGCUUUGACGGGUAGCCGGCCUGAGAGGGUGACCGGCCACAUUGGGACUGAGAUACGGCCCAGACUCCUACGGGAGGCAGCAGUGGGGAAUAUUGCACAAUGGGCGGAAGCCUGAUGCAGCAACGCCGCGUGCGGGAUGACGGCCUUCGGGUUGUAAACCGCCUUCGCCUGUGACGAAGCGUGAGUGACGGUAAUGGGUAAAGAAGCACCGGCUAACUACGUG